rnacentral:rRNA from 1 species
UACGAAGGGGGCUAGCGUUGCUCGGAAUUACUGGGCGUAAAGCGCACGUAGGCGGCUUUCUAAGUCGGGGGUGAAAUCCUGGAGCUCAACUCCAGAACUGCCUUCGAUACUGGAGAGCUCGAGUCCGGGAGAGGUGAGUGGAACUGCGAGUGUAGAGGUGAAAUUCGUAGAUAUUCGAGAAGACACCAGUGGCGAAGGCGGCUGCUGGU